GUCUCCGUUGGUGAACCAGCGGAGGGAUCAUUACAGGACUCGCAAUACUCAUUCACCCUGUGAACCUCAAUACAAGCACGUUGCUUCGGCGGGUGUCCCGGCGGGGGUUUUCCCUCGCCGGGGCGCACAGCCCGCCGGCAGCCUACUAUACUCUGUCUCUUUGCGUUGGCAUCUCGAGAAAAACCAACAAGUUAAAACUUUCAACAACGGAUCUCUUGGUUCUG
rnacentral:misc_RNA from 1 species